rnacentral:rRNA from 1 species
UACGUAGGGGGGCAAGCGUUGUCCGGAUUUACUGGGCGUAAAGAGCGUGUAGGCGGCCAAACAGGUCCGUUGUGAAAACUGGAGGCUUAACCUCCAGACGUCGACGGAAACCGUAUGGCUAGAGUCCGGAAGAGGAAAGUGGAAUUCCCGGUGUAGCGGUGGAAUGCGCAGAUAUCAGGAGGAACACCAAUAGCGAAGGCAGCUCGCUGGGACGGUAUUGACGCUAAGGCGCGAAAGCGUGGGGAGCAAACAGGAUUAGAAACCCCAGGU